UCCAAACCUAAAGGCAAACGCAUAUGGCAGCAAAGGAAGAACCAUUUUUAAAGUCUUCUGAUUGUGUGAUCACACCAACAGCAAGAGACAAAGGCCAGUAACAAGAUAUUUCACACCUUUGUGGCUAACAGACUGGCAGUAAUACAUGAUUUGUCAAAGGAGGAUCAAUUGAAGUAUGUGGACUCCUGCAGAAGAUGCUUCACGAGGAUUAAACACUGAAUCACUCCUGAAGUCAAAAAAGAUGGUUACAAGGAAUUCCUGAAUGACGACGAAUCUCAAUGGCCUCAAAAUCCAGAUGAAACAUCACAAAGUUAUCUCCCUUUAGAUCAGGGGUAUUCAAUUCUGCCUGUGGGAGGAACGAACAUGUAAAACUCUACCUUCUUGAUUAAAAGCCAUGUGAAAUCUC